rnacentral:lncRNA from 1 species
CGUUUCAAUAAACAACUUCGCUCAGCUGCUGCUGCUUUCACCGUCUUACUAAUUAUAUUAUUAUGGCUGCCACGAAUGGAAUCAACUUGUCGCUUCGAAAUAUCCUUCUGUCAAGAAAAGAAAACCUUUUCUUAUUCUCUUUCAAGUGCCAUUUUCAUUCAUCGAAAAUCAUAUCUCAUGCUCCUGCAACACAGAGUGAUACCGCUUUACAACAAGAACAUGAAGAAUUUAGGGUGCUUGAGAUUCCAGGUGCUAGCAUAAAACAGAAGAAAGGAAUGCAGAAAAAAA